rnacentral:rRNA from 1 species
GAUGAACGCUGGCGGCGUGCUUAACACAUGCAAGUCGAACGAGAAGUGAAGACGGAAACCUUCGGGCGGAAGGCUUUAUUUCGAGUGGCGGACGGGUGAGUAACGCGUGGGUAACCUGCCUCAUACAGGGGGAUAACAGUUGGAAACGACUGUUAAUACCGCAUAAGACCACAGCACCGCAUGGUGCGGGGGUAAAAACUCCGGUGGUAUGAGAUGGACCCGCGUUCGAUUAGCCAGUUGGCGGGGUAACGGCCCACCAAAGCGACGAUCGAUAGCCGAUCUGAGAGGAUGACCGGCCACAUUGGGACUGAGACACGGCCCAAACUCCUACGGGAGGCAGCAGUGGGGAAUAUUGCACAAUGGGGGAAACCCUGAUGCAGCGACGCCGCGUGAGUGAAGAAGUAUUUCGGUAUGUAAAGCUCUAUCAGCAGGGAAGAAAGUGACGGUACCUGAGUAAGAAGCCCCGGCUAACUACGUG